UAGUAACUGCGAGUGAAGAGGGAAAAGCUCAAAUUUAAAAUCUGGCAGUGUUUCACUGUCCGAGUUGUAACCUAGAGAAGUGUAAASRWARRKCGGAGCUAACAGGAUUCCCKUAGUAACUGCGAGUGAAGAGGGAAAAGCUCAAAUUUAAAAUCUGGCAGUGUUUCACUGUCCGAGUUGUAACCUAGAGAAGUGUAACCUGCGCUGGACCGUGUAUAAGUCUCCUGGAAUGGAGCAUCACUGAGGGUGAGAAUCCCGUCUUUGACACGGACCACCAGUGCAUUGUGGUUGUGCUCUCAACGAGUCGAGUUGUUUGGGAAUGCAGCUCUAAAUGGGUGGUAAAUUCCAUCUAAAGCUAAAUAUUGGCGAGAGACCGAUAGCGAACAAGUACCGUGAGGGAAAGAUGAAAAGAACUUUGGAAAGAGAGUUAAACAGUAUGUGAAAUUGUUGAAAGGGAAACGUUUGAAGUCAGUCGCGUCGGUUGGGGAUCAGCCUGACAUUGUUGGGUGUACUUCCUGGUUGACGGGCCAACAUCAGUUUUGAUUGCCAGAAAAAGGCCAAAGGAAUGUGGCACCUUUGGGUGUGUUAUAGCCCUUGGUCGUAUAUGGUGGUUGGGACUGAGGAAAGCAGCGUGCCGAAAGGCCGGGUUUCGACCACGUUCACGCUGAGGAUGUUGGCAUAAUGGCUUUAAGCGACCCGUCUUGAAACACGGACCAAGGAGUCUAACAUGCAUGCGAGUGUUUGGGUGGAAAACCCUUACGCGUAAUGAAAGUGAAAGUUGAGAUCCCUGUCGUGGGGAGCAUCGACGCCCGGACCAGAACUUUUGGGACGGAUCUGCGGUAGAGCACGUAUGUUGGGACCCGAAAGAUGGUGAACUAUGCCUGAAUAGGGUGAAGCCAGAGGAAAACUCUGGUGGAGGCU
rnacentral:rRNA from 1 species